AGAUAUUAUCUGGGGAGCAGACGGCUUAUGCCUGGCUGAGAGGGAAUUUAAUUCCGACCCAUUACCUGAUAUGGAUAAUGCCAUCGUAGGGAGUUCUUUUUAUUUUAUA
rnacentral:ncRNA from 2 species